rnacentral:rRNA from 1 species
GAGUUUGAUCCUGGCGUCAGGACUGAACGCUGGCGGCGUGCUUAACACAUGCAAGUCGAACGAGGCAGCGGCCUUCGGGCCGUUGUCGAGUGGCGAACGGGUGAGUAACACUGUGAGGAACCUGCCCCGGAGACCGGAAUAACCAGGGGAAACUCUGGCUAAUACCGGAUGCCCGCGGAUGGUCGCAUGGCCAACCGAGGAAACGCUCCGGUGCUCCGGGAGGGCCUCGCGGCCUAUCAGUUUGUUGGUGGGGUAACGGGCUACCAAGGCAUCGACGGCUAGCUGGUCUGAGAGGACGAUCAGCCACACUGUUACUGAGACACGGCCCAAACUCCUACUGGAGGCAGCAGUGGGGAAUAUUGCGCAAUGGGCGAAAGCCUGACGCAGCAACGCCUCGUGGAGGAUGAAGGCCUUCGUGCUUGUAAACCCCUUUCAGCAGGGACGAAAAUGACUAGUACCUGCAGAACAUGCCCCGGCCAACUACGUGCCAGUAGCCG